rnacentral:rRNA from 1 species
UACGUAGGGGGCUAGCGUUGUCCGGAAUCAUUGGGCGUAAAGCGCGUGUAGGUGGCCAAGUAGGUCCGCUGUGAAAACUUGAGGCUCAACCUCAAGCUGUCGGUGGAAACCCCUUGGCUAGAGUCCGGAAGAGGAGAGUGGAAUUCCUGGUGUAGCGGUGAAAUGCGCAGAUAUCAGGAAGAACACCAAUGGCGAAGGCAGCUCUCUGGGACGGUACUGACACUGAGACGCGAAAGCGUGGGGAGCGAACAGG